rnacentral:rRNA from 1 species
AACGAACGCUGGCGGCAUGCCUAACACAUGCCAGUCGAACGAGACCUUCGGGUCUAGUGGCGCACGGGUGCGUAACGCGUGGGAACCUGCCCUUAGGUUCGGAAUAACUCCCCGAAAGGGGGGCUAAUACCGGAUAAUGUCUUCGGACCAAAGAUUUAUCGCCUUUGGAUGGGCCCGCGUUGGAUUCGCUAGUUGGGAGGGUAAAAGCCUACCAAGGCGACGAUCCAUAGCUGGUCUGAGAGGAUGAUCAGCCACACUGGGACUGGGACACGGCCCAGACUACUACGGGAGGCAGCAGUGGGGAAUACUGGACAAUGGGCGAAAGCCUGAUCCAGCAAUGCCGCGUGAGUGAUGAAGGCCUUAGGGUUGUAAAGCUCUUUUACCCGGGAUGAUAAUGACAGUACCGGGAGAAUAAGCACCGGCUAACUCCGUG